UAAGGAAUAUUGCUCAAUGGGAGAAAUCCUGAAGCAGCAACGCCGCGUGGAGGAUGAAGGGUCUAUGACUUGUAAACUCCUGUAAAGAAGGAAAAAAUUCCCAUUAGAUGGGAGAUGAUGGUACUUCUGGAGUAAGCCCCGGCUAACUACGUGCCAGCAGCCGCGGUAAUACGUAGGGGGCAAACGUUGUCCGGAUUUACUGGGUGUAAAGGGUGCUCAGGCGGAUUUGUAAGUCAGAGGUGAAAUCUUACAGCUUAACUGUGAAACUGCCUUUGAUACUGCAAGCCUAGAGUAUGGAAGAGAGUGAUGGAAUAUCUGGUGUAGCAGUGAAAUGCGUAGAUAUCAGAUAGAACACCAAUGGCGAAGGCAGUCACUUGGUCCAUUACUGACGCUAAAGCACGAAAGCGUGGGUAGCAAACA
rnacentral:rRNA from 1 species